rnacentral:rRNA from 1 species
AUACGUAGGGGGCGAGCGUUAUCCGGAAUUAUUGGGCGUAAAGAGUACGUAGGUGGUUUUGUAAGCGUGAGGUGAAAGCCCGAGGCUUAACUUCGGUAAGCCUUUCGAACUGCAAGACUUGAGUGCAGGAGGGGAAAGUGGAAUUCCUGGUGUAGCGGUGAAAUGCGUAGAUAUCAGGAGGAACACCUGUGGCGAAGGCGGUUUUCUGGACUGUAACUGACACUGAGGUACGAAAGCGUGGGGAGCAAACAGGAUUAGAUACCCGGGUAGUCCACGCUGUAAACGAUGAUUACUAGGUGUUGGGGACCAAAGGUCCUCGGUGCCGCCGCAAACGCAUUAAGUAAUCCACCUGGGGAGUACGUUCGCAAGAAUGAAACUUAAAGGAAUUGGCGGGG